UACGGAGGGGGCAAGCGUUGUUCGGAAUCAUUGGGCGUAAAGGGCGCGUAGGCGGCCCUGCAAGUCGGACGUGAAAUCCCUCGGCUCAACCGAGGAACCGCGCUCGAUACUGCGAGGCUAGAGUCCGGGAGGGGAUGGUGGAAUUCCCAGUGUAGCGGUGAAAUGCGUAGAUAUUGGGAAGAACACCGGUGGCGAAGGCGGCCAUCUGGACCGGAACUGACGCUGAGGCGCGAAAGCUAGGGGAGCGAAUGGG
rnacentral:rRNA from 1 species